rnacentral:rRNA from 1 species
GAAGCAACGCGAAGAACCUUACCAGGUCUUGACAUCCCACUGACCGGUAUAGAGAUAUACCUUUCCCUUCGGGGACAGUGGUGACAGGUGGUGCAUGGUUGUCGUCAGCUCGUGUCGUGAGAUGUUGGGUUAAGUCCCGCAACGAGCGCAACCCUUGAUCUUAGUUGCCAGCAUUUAGUUGGGCACUCUAAGGUGACUGCCGGUGACAAACCGGAGGAAGGUGGGGAUGACGUCAAAUCAUCAUGCCCCUUAUGACCUGGGCUACACACGUGCUACAAUGGAUGGUACAAAGGGCUGCAAGACUGCGAAGUCAAGCGAAUCCCAUAAAACCAUUCUCAGUUCGGAUUGCAGGCUGCAACUCGCCUGCAUGAAGCUGGAAUCGCUAGUAAUCGUGGAUCAGCAUGCCACGGUGAAUACGUUCCCGGGCCUUGUACACACCGCCCGUCACACCACGAGAGUUUGUAACACCCGAAGCCGGUGGGGUAACCGUAAGGAGCCAGCCGUCUAAGGUGGG